UGGAAUUUGAUGGAGAAAUUUGAGUUGUUGUUCUUGGUGCUAAUGUUUGUUCUUUAGCGAAGUAUAUGAGAUUUGAUUUUAAGUUAUUUAUAGAUUUAGUUUAUCUCCCUGCAAUUUAGCUUGCGUGUUGAUCUUCGUUUUGAUGAAUUUUUUGGAUUUGUAUUUUUCCCCCCACAAAGUUUCAGUAUUAAUAUUAGAGGGCUCUUAAUAUUAUAUUAUCUAUAUCUUUUAAAAUAUGCAGGUGAGUAAAAGAAAAAGAAGGACAGAUUCUAAGAAUAGAUUGUUGUUCAGAAAGCUGAGGAAACAAACUGAAUAAAACCAUUCACAUUACAGGUUCAAUCACUCAAUGGUAGCAACUAGAUUUUCUUGGGAAGAUGUAAAGCAUAAAGGGUGGCUUCUUGACGGGUACCAUCGGAGUUUGGCUCAAGCUGUAAGUUGUGAGAAAAUGCAGAUAUGACCUGAUGUGUUUAUAGUAUUAGAUGUAUGUCAAAUUUUUAGUACUUCCAUGCUACUUUAAUUGUCUUUUUUCUGAUUUUGAUUUCUUUUACAUCUUUGCAAAUGGCACUUAGAUAACUGAAAGAAGCUUCCUUUUUCUUUCCCUAUAAAACCUCUUAUGCAAAACUUGCAAUUUUGUAGAAUGUUUAGUUUUUAAUAGAAGUCAUGAAUUUCUAGGUCAUAUUGCUAUGUUAUUUAUAAUAAACUUAACGACUUAGUGGCUUUGAAGAACAAACACACACACAUGCACUGUCUAAAAUAUAGGACCCUGGGAUACCACAUAUGUGUGAGUGAGAGAGAGGAGUUAAUUCUAACCAUCCAUGCAUGAUUUAUUGUCAAGAUUAGCUCUUCUCAUGUUUUCACUUGAUACACCCCUUAUAUAUGAAAUAUGUGGGGUAUAUGGGUGAACAUAGGAAGAAGUAACAUUCCCUUAUUGGUCUUUACUAUUUGAUUAUGAGGAUAAAGUCAUUCAUAUGCAUAAAAUGUUCAUUGUGCGUUUCAUUUACAUUCAACUCUUGGAAUUUAGUUUCUUUCUCUUCAUGUAGCAGCAAUAUAUUAUUAAUUGGGGUGGUGGUGGUAAACCUUAAUCAGAUUUCCUUCUCUAAUAGCAUUCAGAGUCUAAAGUAAUACAAACAUGUAGUUUUAUAUGCACUUAAAUGUCUUCAUGUGCCUGUAAUGAUCUUAAACACCCCUUUCUUUGUUGUUUUUUGUGUCUCAUCUAUGCAUGUUCGUAUGUCAUUUCUACAAUGUCAUAUUGUAUUAACAUUUUUUAUACUUAUGCUUAGUUUGGAUGGGAAAAUGUAGUUAGGUUCACCUUAAAGAAAGAAUCUGUUUUAAUGAGCUUUUUGUUGCACUGUUGUUUAAGAUGUUUUUGUUCCUAGGUCAGUGCUUCAGCCCUCGGUUCAUCAAUUUGCUUAAUUUUUCAUGUAUGUGCUUGAGAAAAUGAUUCUCAGAAUUACUCCUUAGUCUGCAGUUUUGGUGAUCGAUUUGCUUCCGAAUAAUUAAUUUUGUUCUCUCAUUAGAAACCAAUCCUUCUUGGAUUAUUGUGAUUGGAAUUCAAAAGCUAUAGGGAAUAAUUAGAACAUUGGUUGCUGACUUGGUUCACUUUCUGUUAUAAACAGUUAAAUAAAUUGUCUGUUGUCUUAUGUAUCUUUCCAAUUAAUUGGUGCUAUUCUUAUGAGUGUGAUCAUGUUUCUUAAAACUGAGGACAUAUAUAUUGGUUAUAGACUUAUAGUGCUUCAAGUUUCAACUGAGAUCAUUUGAUUCUGAUAUUACUGAUUUCAAUGAAAUAGCAACUUCAAUUGUUGGUUUCUUUUGCUACUUGCAAGUUUCAUUUGAUACUAAGAGAGAGGACAUCUAUUGGCAAGUAUCAACUUUGAUUUGUUUGUUUUUAAGUUGAGAAACAGUUAAUUGCCAUAGAACAUGUGCAACUUAUUAGAUAUAUUUGGUGUACUUUUUCAGAAAAAGAUGCAUAAAAUGGCAUAGUUGCAUUUGGUUCAGACUUCAGACCCUAUUAGCGGUAGAGAAAGAAUUGUCUUCUCAAUGCUAUAAUUUCUGCUGCAAUUGGAAUAGAAGGAAGAUAACAUGUUUGGCAGAAGUUGAAGUUGGAAUAGACAACAUUGAGGAUAACAUGUUUGACAGAAGUUGAAGUGCUACAUUUGAUAGAAGAAAGAACAUAAGCUAAUAAAAAUAAGUAUUUUCCCAAGAGUGGUCUACAGUGGCUAAGCUAAGCUUAACAUUGCAAGAUGUUAGCACUGUGGGAUUCCAAUUCUUAUGUUUUAGUUUUUAACAUUGAUCAAUGUUUUUAUAAGUUCAAACUUCAAAGUAAGGUACUCAACUCGAACUAUUAAAAUUGAGCAUUUGAAAGUGGGUAGCUAUAGCAAUCAAAAAAGAGGUAUUGUUGUAGAGUUACAUAGCUGACCUAUGUUGGUUAAAUUUUACAGCUUCUUCAUAUUGGUAAUGUUUUUAUCCUAAUAUUACCUCUCUUAUUUUUAUUUGUUUAAGUUGAUGUUCGUGUCUUAUUCUUUAACCAUUUCAGGCAGCUAACAGAAAUUUAACACCCUUCUUUUAAACAAUAAAAAGGAAAAAGAAAGUAAAGAGUUUUAAAUAUGCAACUAGACAACUUACUAAUGCCUUGGAUACUAAUUAAGAUCUAUAAAAGCAUGUAUAUUUAGAGUACUAUUGUCUUGAGGUAACCUCUAUGAUGUGUAGACUCUGCUUGACCAUGAUGUAGUUUAUGAAGAUUUAAGGCAACUCUCUAUCCAUAAAGUUGUAGUUGAAAUCGCCUCUAUAUGUAUGAAUUGUUACUAGAUUAUGUUAUAAAUGCUUAAAGCUAUUGUGUAUCUUAUAAUUGAUUUUCUUACUAGAGUUGCCAACUAAUUUUAUAAACAUCUAAAUAUAAGUUGUUUAACAUUUCUCUUUUAUGUUUCUAUAGUUUUCCUUUAUUUUCCCUCACAGUUCACUGAACUAUAAUUGUAUACUUGUAUCAAAUGUAUUGUAGAAAUUUAUUUGUGUUAAACCAAAACAUGAAGAGAAAUGACGAGUAUUUUGAUUACCACUUUGAAGAAAAUGGUGACCGCAUAAAAGAAGAAAAUAUAGCUUAGAAUAGUAAAUAUUGUUUUACCAAGAUUUUCAUUUUAGGAUGUUAUGGCUGCUCCUAAUCUAAAGUUUUAAAGACAUAAUUUCAACUGUGGAUUCCAACAUCAAUUUCUUUCCUAUUCUGCAGAGAUUUAAAAUCAUCUCAACAGAAUACUCAUUGACUUGUCAGAUUGAAAACAUGCAUCUUAUAAUUCAAUUUGUUUUCUUGGAAGACUUUCCCAUAACUGGAAGUGUAGGAUUACUUAACUAUUGAAGAUUUUCUCAAGUAGUGGAAGAAUCAUGGUUCAAACCCAGUGAAGUGAGUGAUAAACUGGAAAGAAGAUAGAUCAGGAUCUUUUGCGUGGUUCGUAUGUAAGUCUCCUUUCAUCGAUUUUCAAACCUUCAUUUACUUCAUGUUCGGUGUGAUGUCUCUCUUCAUGUUCAUUUUUCCUUUUCCCUUCCCUCCAUCACCAAAUUGUUGUCAUUAAGCUAGAAAAGUUGGUAGUCCAUUUUCUUAAAGCUGUGUUUAUUCUGUUGUGGGUCUUCAUCUUGAUGUGUUUUAAAGAUAUUUUUUUAUUCUAAAAGCUGGCCUUUAUUUUCAAUUUUAAGUAUGUGAAGGUGUGUUUUUCUUCUAUUCUCACCUCAUCAGAUAUACAUUUGACUUUCAUUCACCUAGUUUAUUUCUACUUAAGAGUAUAAAUGGAAACUCCAAAGAUUUAGUUUGGUUAAUUUAAUUCACUUUUAAUUAUUUUAGAUCCUUAAAGCAUUUUUUUGCUGGAAGAAUCCAUCUUCUUCUCCAGUUUGAGGCUAAGUUUUGUGAAAAUUGAAGAAGCAAUUUUUAGAACUCUUGAAUCAGUUGCAGCAUAUUUCCAAUGAGUUCUAUUGUUCUAUGGCUUGUGGAGUUAACGGAUAUUUUGAUGAAAUUGACGGCGAUUGUAUUUCGGUGACAACAAGUCCCACUGGAGAAGACAUCGGCAGUGGUGAGGGAAGGUUGCUGGCAUGAGCAGAGGGAGAAUGCUAGAGUUGUGUUUUGUUUGGUUGAAUCCUAUUUCAAGUUGACUGUACGUUUGAUUGUGAUUUCAAAUUUUAUUUAAUUUAAAUGUUUGGCUGACCUUUGCUUUGAUCUAAGGGACAGGAAAGUUGCUGGAGAGGCUGGAGGGAUGUUACUGCUGGAGAGGAUCCAGAUUCUUCCUUUGAUUCCCCUGACCGGCGAGUAAUUUUCUUUUUAGUACUAUGAGGCUAUGAUCUCCUUGCUUUUCUCUUAAUUAGUGCAUCUUGUCUUCACGAAGGUGUCUCUUUACUCAGUUUUUAUUUAUUGAGUGCUGUGUAUUCUUUACUAUGCACUCUCUAAAUCAGUCGGCCCCCGUCUAUUUCAUGCUCUUGCACAUAUAACUUCUAUUUGAACAAUUGCAAUCUACCGUGAUAUUCUAUAUUUAUGGUAGAAUUUUAAUACCGAGCUUUUUUUAGCACUAUUCAUAAGAGGUAUUUUUUGGCCGAAUGUUGUAACAGAUUCUGCUCCCUAAUGUUGUAACCUGCUGUUUUUAUUCUCUUAUUAGUUUUAGUUUGAGAUUUCUGUUCUUAAUUAUAUGUUGUGUUUGAGUAUGUUCUUAAAACUUUGUUUUCCUAUGUGCUUUAUGUAUAUGUUUUGAAUGGAAAGUAAGUAUUUACUCAAUUGGCAUACCUGACAAGGGUUAUUUUAAAGCCUUUUCAUGAAAUAUACUUAUCAUCACAACAUUUCAUCCAGCACUCUCUAAUGAGAAGCAAUGCGCGUGACAAAAGGGGUGGGUGGGUUAUUUGGUUUUCAUCGAUCUGGACCAUCUCGAAUCUCCGAAAUUCAGUGCUUUUUAGAGGCAGUGAAGAUGAUGCUUCUGAUACAGUAGAGUUAAUUCAAUUCAAAUCGUGCCUGUGGUUGAAAGCAAAAUCAAAAGGUUUUGAUUUCUCUCUUUUCGAAUGGAAGGCAAACACUUAAUCCGUUUGGAAUCCCUAUAAUUGAGCUAUGGUUUUAUUGCUAUGGAGUUGAGGUGAAUUUUGGGGAAUUUGGUUAUGGUGCUUUGGUUUCGUUGAUACAGUUUGGCAUAAGGUGCACUCAGGAUGAACUCCAAUUCUGGUGAGCUUCGUCUGCAGCAUAGAAGGAGUAGAUAUGAGUGUUCUAGCUCUUUCCACUCUGUUCAUGAUCUUGUGCUGUGAAACCUGAGUUUUUGUCCAUCUACUUAGCUCAUCAUUGAUAUGCUGGUCCUAAUUGGCUGACUUACUAUGAGGCUAUGGUAGGCUUUAUCAAGUGCAGGACCUUUGGAGCUGAAGCAUGUAGGGGAGAAGGGAUCGAUUACAUGUUUGUCUACUCGAUUUUACCAUAAGGAUUGCAUUUCCAAUAUCAGACAUCUUGACUCCUCAAAGGUGGGUGUGAUUUAGGGAUCAAGCUGGAGGUUGUAUGAAGACUAAAGUAUUUUUUCCAAGUAUGGUUUGUUCUAAUCAAUACUUUGAUAGUGGUUUUGGUAUGCUGGCUUAUUUUGGUUGGGACCUAACAAUCAUAGAACUGUCUGAGUAGUUGUCUGGUGAGAAUUUAUGUUUACCUAUACUGAUAGCAUUGUUUUCGUGUUUUCUGGGGCCUUAGUUUUGCCCCCUUGAUCCCUUGUCUUUUGUACUCAUAUUGUAUUUAGGUUCUAGCAUCCCUUGUGCUAGCUUUGAAUACAGUUUUUGCUUAUAAAUAAAAAACUUGAGAAUCACAUGACUGUAAUUUGGGUAGAAUGUGAUUUUGGAAUAUUAAAGCUUAACAGUUGAAAGUUCUUUUUUCGGUUCAGUGUCUGCUGCACUUGGGUGUUUUUUUCUUUUAGCCUUUGUGGUUAUGGUGUGAGUUUUAGCUUCCUAUCAGUUGUACUUUUUCGUUUUGGCAUUUACAAAAUUUGACUUCUUUACAUUCACUCUUUUUAAGAGCUUUUGUUGGAAUUUUACAGUCCUAUUAGUUAUAGGAGGUGGUUUUUUUUUUUUUUUUUUUUUUUUUUUUUUUUUUUUUUAUAAUCAUGGUGAAGCUAGAUUUGGUGUUGGAAGUUUGAAGUUGUAAGCAGUCCACCAAAUUCAGGGAACUAUGAUGAUUCGCUUUGUUUGUAAAGUGAAUCUAAGUUUAGCAUCAGAGUAUAUGAUGUGUAGUUCAGAGAGAUUCAUUAUAGGACCAAGACCGGUCAUCUUAGCCCUGCAACCGCAUAUCCAAGCUGUGCCAAUAAUGACUUAUUGUUUGAGGAUGAAGACAUAUGACUAUUAAUUUAGUUAGUGACGGUGGAUCUAAUAAUGAAGUUGAAGAAAUGCAUUGUGAGUAGUUUGGUUUGGAUGCUUGAUAUCAUUGCUGAUCUCAUCCAUGGGAACGAAUUUCUGGUUUGUUUUGUAUUUUGUUUACUUACAUUGUUAGUAUUAAUUUAUUUGCAUUACUUGCGUUGUGAAACAGAUCCUCCCCAAUCGUGUCCAGUAAGAAUAUUUCGUACACUUGCCUCCUGAAAUAAGUGUUCUCCUUCUAGAUGGAUCUCGGACCAAUUGGAAAAUUCUUUAGUACUCUAUUGGUGAGAGAAGAGGCAAAAGAUAUGUCAAUUUUGGCUUAAAGGGUGAGACAUGUUGCAAGUGGUUUGACUUCUAAUUAUAAAUAGUUUAGUUAUGUUUGGUUCUACAUUAAAACAUCUCUUUGACUUAUCAUUUUAUCAUUUGUGCAUUUCCAACAAAUAUUGUAACAUUGUUAUUGUAUUAUAAUUAUAUUAAAUAAGUGAAAAAAUGCAAAAUACUUCUGUUUUAUAUCGAUUAAAGUUAACAAUCGGUUUAUUGUCAUAGAUAUUAGCAAAGUUGAUAAUAAAUUUUGUUCAUUUUAUCAUGAAGGUUACCUAAUCCCAUCCCAAUGAACCAAUAAAAUUAUUUAUAAAUAAACAAAUAAAAUAUGAAAAUUUUAUUCAACUUAUCUUAAAUGUGAUUGGUCCACCUAAGAUCAUGUAUUAUUUAACCCAAACUUUUCCAUGAGUCAUUUAGACAACUGCGGUAUAUAAUUGAAAAGAUUACAAAUUAUUGGUAUGUAAAUUAAUUUGUUCAUCUUAAUAAAUUACAGAAUUAAUUAUGUUAAAUCGUAGAAUCGCUCGUCCGUGCAU